UUAAAUUUUUAUUUGAACAGUUUGUGUUUCAUUUUAAAGUAAUUUUGCUAUUGUUUUAGAUGAUGAACCACUCUCCUUCCUUUUACAACAGGUGCCCCUACAGACUCACAAAGUUUCAGUGUUGAAUUUCCAUGACCCCGAUUGAGUGGAGACAGGAAAAGGAAUGAAGAUGGCAGGACUUUCUGCACUGCACUUGGUAGCAGCUGAUGAUGGAACCGACAGCUGUCGACAGGGCUCAAUUAAUCAAAGGUAAGUCUCCGGAGUAGUGUUUGUACCAGUUUUUGUACUUGGUCCUACAUCUAAGCUUCAGGUCCAGGGCAAAUCUUCUCUGCAUCAAUUCUCUAAUGGCUUUUGUUCUUCCCAGAAACAUGUGACUGCUGAAUGGAGCCUAAGCAGUCUGUUUUUGAGAGUCAAAGAAGUGGUGUAGGUCUUUGAGGUCUUCAGUUACAUGCUCUUGCUUUUCAGAUGCACCAGAAGCAGCAGCACCGUCUCCAUCACUGGUGAAAUGGGAAAUGUUGAGUGGAUGGCCGAAACUAUGCAGCUCACCGAUGCUUAGCACAGCCCAUCUCUUACCGGUACAUCUCCAAUGGUGGUCUCUGGAGGAAAGGUUGCAGUGCAGUCUUCAUGUCCUCAGCAGGAAUGUUGAUGGCUGAUGCUGGAUCGAUGUUUGCGCCAAGAAGCAUACCAUGCAUACUCUAAAAAACAUUGCUUCGAGUUGCAGUGAGUUUUUUCCCCACUAUCCCAAAUGGAAAAAGGAGUAGCUUUAAAUAGCUUUAAGACAUUUAUAGACUUUAUGGUGUUCAAAAAGUGGUCCCAAACAUAAUGGUCAAAAAACUACCAUGCGCAUUCCCAGGUCUUAGUUCUCAACAAAUAACAGGAUAACUUAUCGUUUGUGUUACCAUGAUAUGAUUCCAAAUUGAUUACUUGGAAACUAUCAUGUCCGUUACCAUGCUAUGAUACCUGACAGGACUGGACAACUUAAUGUGUCUUGUACCAUACAGUGAUUCCCAACAAAUUGAUGGACAAUAUACUACAAGUUUGAGUCUGUUAGAUUUGUUCUAAGCUUUGAAUUCCAUUGUAUAACCUUGAUAAAAAGUUUUAAGCUCACCUGAACCUGAGGCUCAAGUGAGCUUUUCGGAUCAAAAUUUGUCUGUUAUCUGUCAUUGUUGUUUGUGGUAGUGGUAAACUUUUCACAUUUGAAAUUAUCUUCCGCGUCAGUGGGUGAUGUUAAAAAAUGUUCUUCAAUGUUCGCUACCUUUAUAACCCGCAUGAAUCAUCAAAGAAAGCACAUUAUUGUUUAUAUUUACAUCUUUCUUUUAACAAAUUAUUAAAAUGAAAAUUCACUUAAUUACUGUUAAUGUACAUCUGUACGUUACCUAAAAGAAACAGCCGAAUCGUCUCCUUUGGGAAUUUGAGUCUAACAUUAUCAUGAUUAUUUCAUGCAGUCCAUUAUUUAUCUUGCGUUGCUGUAGUUUUUGACAUAGUUUUUAAAUGGGGUAGAUUUCAGUCUGGUUGUUUCUAUAGAGCUAUGAAUAAAGUUUCCGUAAAAAUAGAGGGAAUCAUACUCAGUCGAUGUAAAUAUUUAAGAAUAAUUACAAAUUUGUUGACAUUAUAUAAAAAUUUUAUUCUCAUAAUCCAUCUGUCCAGAAAAGCUAAUUUUUGUGUGGAAGCAUCCUAAGGUAGUGCAGAUUUGUGU